GUGAAUGUGGUGUAGUGGUUUUAGUGUUAGACUCUGACUCUAAAAACCAGGGUUCGAUUCAUUGCUCAGCCA